UACGAGGGGGGCGAGCGUUGUUCGGAAUUAUUGGGCGUAAAGCGCGCGUAGGUGGCUUCGUAAGUCCGUUGUGAAAGUCAAAGGCUCAACCUUUGAAAGCCGAUGGAUACUGCGGAGCUAGAGUACGGAAGAGGCGAGUGGAAUUCCUGGUGUAGCGGUGGAAUGCGCAGAUAUCAGGAGGAACACCAAUAGCGAAGGCAGCUCGCUGGGACGUUACUGACACUGAGGCGCGAAAGCGUGGGGAGCGAACAGG
rnacentral:rRNA from 1 species